UGUAAAGGCACAAGGGAGCUUGACUGCGAGACCUACAAGUCGAGCAGGGACGAAAGUCGGGCUUAGUGAUCCGGUGGUUCCGCAUGGAAGGGCCAUCGCUCAACGGAUAAAAGCUACACCGGGGAUAACAGGCUUAUCUCCCCCAAGAGUCCACAUCGACGGGGAGGUUUGGCACCUCGAUGUCGGCUCAUCGCAUCCUGGGGCUGUAGUCGGUCCCAAGGGUUGGGCUGUUCGCCCAUUAAAGCGGUACGCGAGCUGGGUUCAGAACGUCGUGAGACAGUUCGGUCCCUAUCCGUCGCGGGCGCAGGAA
rnacentral:rRNA from 1 species